UUCCUCUUCACCGCCACACCAAAAUAGGAGAAACGUUUGGCACCUUCACAGAAAACCUAGACUCGUCGCACCUAUUUUCUCCCACGGCAGCCACCCUAUCUCAUGUCAAAAACACCUUGGAAACUGCCCAGACGCACACAGGAAACCUCUGUUUUGAUGUUCAGAAACAGAGCACUCCACCAUACCCAACCAGCUAGAGCACAAAGCCACGGAGUCACUGUGAGCUUCCACCUUCAGAUGCUGUCCUGGUUAAAGCUGAGACCAGCUGCCUCGUCCAGCUCUUUGCCUCUCUUCCACGCGUCUUCUCCGUCGAGUGCACGUUGCAAGACCUUCAUUUUCAAGCAGCUUCUCUCAUCGGAAACAGCCACCAUGCAAGGUAGCAGCUUUUCUUCGCCACACCACCAGCUUGUCAAAGUUUGUUCUCAGUUUCUUCAUUGUUUUCCCUUGGGUGAGCUUCUUUGGAUGUGUAACCAAGUGGAGGGAACUUAGACAGAAGCAUAAAUUGUGCAACAUACAGCUUGAAGAGGUGAUGAUGACUGUGUUUCUUGGUUCUCCAACUCAGCAGCUCUAUUGAUCUUCAACAGCCCCCCGCAAGAUGGAGAGUAGAUAUCUGCUACUCCCAUCUUGGACAUGCAAGAAUAAAAGCUUUGUGAGUCCAAAGC